rnacentral:lncRNA from 1 species
UUCCAUGCCUGGGCAUUUAUUUUAGAGAAAUGAAAAGUUACAUUUGCCCAUAAACCUGUGCACAAACAUUCACAGCAGCUUUUUAUGUAGUUGACAAAAGUUAGAAGUAACUCACAUGUCCUUGAGUACAUGAAUGCGUAAACAAACGGGAACAUCCAUGCAAUGGGGUGCUACUCAGCAACCGAAAGGAAAAAAAAUGGAUACAAACAUCAGCUUGGAUGGAUCUCAAGGGCAAUGUGGUAAGUGAAAAAAGCAAAUCAAAAUACACCCUGUAUGAUCCCACUUAUAAAACAUUCUCAAAAAUGACACAAUUAGAAUGAUGAGAGAUUAGUGGUCACUCAAGAAAGUGUGAAUAUGAAAGAAGUUUUAUGGAGUUUCUUUGUGGUGGUGGAACAGUUGCUGUCUUAGGGCUGCUUUGACAAAAACACAAAAGAGUGGGUGGCUUAUACCACAAACAUUUACUUCUCACAUUUCUGGAGGCUGGGAAGUUCGAGAUCUAGGAGCCAGCAGGUCCAUUGUUGGGUGAGGUCCUGCUUCCUCUUUGUACCCUCACAUGGCAGGCUUAGAGACGGAGAGAGAGAGAGAGGAAACAAACCCUUUUCUGUCUCUGCUUAUAAGGGCACUAAUCCCAUCAUGAGGGCUCCACCCUCAUAAUCUAAUCACAUCCCAAAGGCCUCACCUUCAAACACCAUCACACUGGAGAUUAGGGUUUCAACAGAUGCAUUUGGUGGGUUUGGGGGGACACAAACAUUCAGUCCAUAGCAGUUAUGCAUCCUGACUAUGGUGGAAGUUACAUGAAUCUACACGUGUGAUAAAGUUUUACACAACUAUAUAUGCCCCUCCCAAACAUGUAUGCAUAUAAAAAAUAAGUGAAAUUGGAAUUAGGUGUAUACUUUAGCUCAUAGCAUUAUAUUAUACCCGUGCCAGUUUUCAGGUUUUGAUAAUGCAUUAUGUUUAAAUAAGAUGCUAACAUCAGGGGAAGCUGAAAAAGGAUACAAAGAAAUUAUCUGUUCUACUUUCACAACUUUUUGGGAGUCUAAAAUUAUUUCAAAAUUAAAAAAUGAAAACAAAACAAAAAAUUCCCCCCAAUUUGCAGAGAAGUUAGCUAAUAUUCAAAUAGGUUAAAUAAUUUACACUUAUUUUUUAAAACCCUCAAGCCAGUAAAAGGCCAAACUGAGAUUUGAACCCCAGGACUUCUGAGUCCAAAUUCAGGGCUCUUUAUACCACAAUGCUCCUAUUAGCCAUGUGUUUAGCUUGAGCAGAUAAACAUUCAAGUGACAGCUGAAGGUCAUUUAAGUAGAUAAAAGAACAUGUUCAAGGUCAGGAGGUAAACAAAAGCAAGGAAAGAAAGUACAAACCAUCAAAGCCUGAUGGGCAGAGGAAAGCACGGGGCUGAGAGAACUGCAGCCAUGAGGGGGACAAGAACAGGGACAGAGGGAAGGAGAGGGUGUAGGUUGUGAACAGGAUGUCUGAUUUGAAGAUGGUGUCACUCCUGAUGAUGACAGACCCUCGAAAUAGCCCCAGAGAGGAGAUGAGUGGACAGAUCCUACUGAAAGUAAAGGUCUGAGUAUGAGAUGGUCAAGGAAUUGCGAGGCCUAAGAGUCAAGUGAGUGGUCCAUUGGGACAUUCAGG